AGCCCCACCCCCCAAGGCUAUAGCCCACCCGUUUUGGUGGCCUUUUUCCACUGGACGAACUUGGCGCUCCGGCCUUUGGGUGGUUAUUUUUGGGCGCGGCUGUGCCCGUCGCCUAUUUUUGGCACGCGGAGACGCCUCGCAAAGUCUCACGCCAUUCCGAGUCCGGCAGACGAAGCUGGCCAGCCCCACCCCCCAAGGCUAUAGCCCGCCCGUUUCUGUGGCCUUUUUCCGCUGGACGAACUUGGCGCUCCGGCCUUCGGGCGGUUAUUUUUGGGCGCGGCUUUGCCCACGGCCUAUGUUUGGCACACGGAGGCCCCUCGCAAAGUCUCGCGGCAUUCCGAGUCCGGCGGACGAAGUUGGCCAGCCCCACCCCCCAAGGCUAUAGCCCACCCGUUUUUGUGGCCUUUUUCCGCUGGACAAACUUGGCGCCCCGGCCUUCGGGAGGUUAUUUUUGGGCGCGGCUGUGCCCGCGGCCUAUUUUUGGCACACGGAGGCGCCUCGCAAAGUCUCGCGCCAUUCCGAGUCCGGCGGACGAAGUUGGCCAGCCCCACCCCCCAAGGCUAUAGCCCACCCGAUUUUGUGGCCUUUUUCCGCUGGGCGAACUUGGCGCCCCGGCCUUUGGGCAGUUAUUUUUGUAUGCGACUUUGCCCGCGGCCUAUUUUUGGCACACGGAGGCCCCUCCCAAAGUCUCGCGGCAUUUCGAGUCCGGCGGACGAAGUUGGCCAGCCCCACCCCCCAAGGCAAUAGCCCACCCGUUUUUAUGGCCUUUUUCCGCUGGACGAACUUGGUGCCCCGGCCUUCGGGUGGUUAUUUUUGGGCGCGGCUUUGCCCGCGGCCAAAUUUUGGCACACGGAGGCCCCUCGCAAAGUCUCGCGGCAUUCCGAGUCCGGCGGACGAAGUGGGCCAGCCCCACCCCCCAAGGCUAUAGCCCACCCGUUUUUGUGGCCUUUUUCCGCCGGGCCAUCUGGCGGCCACUGUCGGGCGCGGGUUUGCCCGCGGUCUGGUCGAGCAUCUCGGAAAGUCUCGCGGCAUUCCGAGUCCGGCGGGCGAAGUAGGCCAGCCCCAAACCCCAAGGUUAUAGCCCACCCAUUUUUGUGGCCUUUUUCCGCUGGACGAGCUUGGCGCCCCGGCCUUCGGGCGGUUAUUUUUGGGCGCGGCUUUGGCCGCGGCCUAUUUUUGGCGCACGGAGGCACCUCGCAAAGUCUCGCGGCAUUCCGAGUCCGGCGGGCGAAGUAGGCCAGCCCCAAACCCCAAGGUUAUAGCCCACCCAUUUUUGUGGGCUUUUUCCACUGGACGAACUUGGCGCUCCGGCCUUUGGGUGGUUAUUUUUGGGUGUGGCAUUGCCCGUGGCCUAUUUUUGGCACACGGAGGCCCCUCGCAAAGUCUCGCGGCAUUCCGAGUCCGGCGGGCGAAGUAGGCCAGCCCCAAACCCCAAGGUUAUAGCCCACCCAUUUUUGUGGGCUUUUUCCACUGGACGAACUUGGCGCUCCGGCCUUUGGGUGGUUAUUUUUGGGUGCGGCGUUGCCCGUGGCCUAUUUUUGGCACACGGAGGCCCCUCGCAAAGUCUCGCGGCAUGCCGAGUCCGGCGGACGAAGUUGGCCAGCCCCACCCCCCAAGGCUCCCACCCGUUUUUGUGCCCUUUUUCCGCUGGACGAACUUGGCGCCCCGGCCUUCGGGAGGUUAUUUUUGGGCGCCGCUUUGCCCGCGGCCUAUUUUUGGCACACGGAGGCCCCUUGCAAAGUCUCGCGGCAUUCCGAGUCCGGCGGACGAAGUUGGCCAGCCCCACCCCCCAAGGCUAUAGCCCACCCGUUUUUGUGGCCUUUUUCCGCUGGACGAACUUGGCGCCCCGGCCUUUGGGGUGUUAUUUUUGGGCGCGGCUUUGCCCGCGGCCUAUUUUUGGCACACGGAGGCCCCUCGCAAAGUCUCGCGGCAUUCCGAGUCCGGCGGACGAAGUUGGCGUGCCCAACCCCCCAAGGCUAUAGCCCACCCGUUUGUGUGGCCUUUUUCCGCGGGACGAACUUGGCGCCCCGGCCUUCGUGUGGUUAUUUUUGGGUGCGGCGUUGCCCGCGGCCUAUUUUUGGCACACGGAGGCGCCUCGCAACGUCUCGCACCAUUCCGAGUCCGGCGAACGAAGUUGGCCAGCCCCACCCCCCAAGGCUAUAGCCCACCCGUUUUUGUGGCCUUUUUCCGCUGGACAAACGCUUUCGGGCAGUUAUUUUUGGGCGCGGCUUUGCCCGCGGCCUAUUUUUGGCACUAGGAGGCCCCUCGCAAACUCUCGCGGCAUUCCGAGUCCGGCGGACGAAGUUGGCCAGCCCCACCCCCCAUGGCUAUAGCCCACCCGUUUGUGUAGCCUUUUUCCGCUGGACGAACUCGGCGUCCCAGCAUUCGGGCGGUUAUUUUUGGGUACGGCUUUGCGCGCGGCCUAUUUUUGGCACACGGAGGCCCGUCGCAAAGUCUCGCGGCAUUCGAAGUCCGGCGGACGAAGUUGGCCAGCCCCACCCCCCAAGGCUAUAGCCCACCCGUUUUUGUGGCCUUUUUCCGCUGGACGAACGCCUUCGGGCAGUUAUUUUUGGGCGCGGCUUUGCCCGCGGCCUAUUUUUGGCACACGGAGGCCCCUCGCAAAGUCUCGCGGCAUUCCAAGUCCGGCGGACGAAGUUGGCCAGCCCCACCCCCCAAGGCUAUAGCCCACCUGUUUUUGUGGCCUUUUUCCGCUGGACGAACUUGGCGCCCCGGCCUUCGGGCAGUUAUUUUUGGGCACGGCUUUGCCCGCGGCCUAUUUUUGGCACACGGAGGCCCCUCGCAAAGUCUCGCGGCAUUCCGAGCCCGGCGGACGAAGUUGGCCAGCCCCACCCCCCAAGGCUAUAGCCCACCCGUUUUUGUGGCCUUUUCCCGCUGGAGGAACUUGGCGCCCCAGCCUUCGGGCGGUUAAUUUUGGGCGCGGCUUUGUCCGUGGCCUAUUUUUGGCACACGGAGGCCCCUCGGAAAGUCUCGCGUCAUUCCGAGUCCGGCGGACGAAGUUGGCCAGCCCCACCCCCCAAGUCUAUAGCCCACCCGUUUUUGUGGCCUUUUUCCGCUGGAUGAACUUGGCGCCCCGGCCUUCGGGCGGUUAUUUUUGGGCGCGGCUUUCCCGCGGCCUAUUUUUGGCACAUGGUGGCCCCUUGCAAAGUCUCACGGCAUUCCGAGUCUGGCGGACGAAGUGGGCCAGCCCCACCCCCCAAGGCUAUAGCCCACCCGUUUUUGUGGCCUUUUUCCGCUGGACGAACUUGGCGUCCAGGCUUCGCGCGGUUAUUUUUGGGUGCGGCUCUGCCCGCGGCCUAUUUUUACACACGGAGGCCCCUCGCAAAGUCUCGCUGCAUUCCGAGUCCGGCGGACGAAGUCGGCCUGCGCCACCCCCCAAGGCUAUAGCCCACCCGUUUUUGUGGCCUUUUUCCGCUGGACGAACUUGGCCCCCCGGCCUUCGGGCGGUUAUUUUUGGGCGCGUCUGUGCCCGAGGCCUAUUUUUAGCAUGCGAAGGUGCCUUGCAAAGUCUCGCGCCAUUCCGAGUCCGGCGGACGAAGUUGGCCAGCCCCACCCCCCAAGGCUAUAGCCCACCCGUUUCUGUGGCCUUUUUCCGCUGGACGAACUUGGCGCCCCGGCCUUCGGGCGGUUAUUUUUUUGUACGGCUGUGCCCGCGGCCUAUUUUUGGUACACGGAGGCACCUCGCAAAGUCUCGUGCCAUUCCGAGUCUGGCGGUCGAAGUUGGCCAGCCCCACUCCCCAAGGCUAUAGCCCACCCGUUUUUGUGGCCUUUUUCCGCUGGACGAACUUGGCGCCCCGGCCUUCGGGCGGUUAUUUUUGGGCGCGGCAAAGUCUCGCGGCCUAUUUUUGGCACACGGAGGCCCCUCGCAAAGUCUCGCGGCAUUCCGAGUCCGGCGGACGAAGUUGGCCAGCCCCACCCCCCAAGGCUAUAGCCCACCCGUUUUUGUGGCCUUUUUCCGCUGGACGAACUUGGCGCCCGGGCCUUCAGGCGGUUAUUUUUGGGCGCGGCUUUGCCCUCGGCCUAUUUUUACACACGGAGGCGCCUCGCAAAGUCUCGCGCCAUUCCGAGUCCGGCGGGCGAAGUGGGCCAGCCCCACCCCCCAAGGCUAUAGCCCACCCGUUUUUGUGGCCUUUUUCCGCUGGACGAACUUGGCGCCCCGGCCUUCGGGCGGUUAUUUUUGGGCGCGUCUGUGCCCGCGGCCUAUUUUUGGCACACGGAGGCCCCACACAAAGUCUCGAGGCAUUCCGAGUCCGGCGGACGAAGUGGCCCAGCCCCACCCCCCAAGGCUAUAGCGCACCCGUUUUUGUGGCCAUUUUCCGCUGGACGAACUUUGCGCCCCGGACUUCGGGCGGUUAUUUUUUGGUACGGCUUUGCCCGCGGCCUAUUUUUGGCACACGGAGGACCCUCGCAAAGUCUCGCGGCANNN
rnacentral:lncRNA from 1 species